UGACCCUUCCAGAAGUUCCAAGACUUCCAAACUCUGUUUUUCUUUUGUUCUUCAGGGGAAAAAAUGAGUAACCAAUCGAGUGGUACUAUCUACGUGGGGAAUCUGCCUGGAGAUAUUUGUAUAAGAGAAAUUGAAGAUUUAUUCAUGAAGGUCGGUACAGAGAGGGAUUGGCGCCAAAGCUUUGCAUAGAGAGAGAUCGGUAAUUGGUGGUUUAAGUUUUUCGUAGAUUGAGCUCCAAGGUCGGCUUCUGAUUUCGUAGAUUUUCUUUUCAAUUGUGCUGCAUGCAAUUUUUUGUGUUGCGUAUGGGUGAUUGAGUAUUUUCCUCCAAAGUUCCACUUAUUAAAAAAGAUGGAUAUGCAAGCAUUAAAAGGAUGUCUUGCUACUGCAUCUCACCGGAAAAAUACAGAUAGAACCAAGGUUUGCGAUUGGGUUGCGCAUCAAAAUGCUGUAUUUGACAUCUAUUGAUAAAAGGUAUAAUAAAUGUUGAUGCAAUUUUUAUCAUUCUGAAAAUGUAGCAGAUGUAAUAUGAUGCUUAUGCAAUGUAAUGUUUUUACAUGAUGAUACUCAAAUUGUGACAGCUUCUGGUGAUCGAUCAAACUGUAAGUGGUUUAAGUCCACUUCAAUUUUUCAGACCCAUGGUGCUUUGUUUUUUUUUUUUUAAAGGAGUUCAGAAAAAUUGAAAUUGACUAACCAGGAUUAAGAACGUUGUUAGUAACACAUGAAUGAAAGUUGUAUAUUAGUAAUUCUGCCACAUAUUGCAGUUGGUUUAGUUUCUAAGUGAUUAUGCUGUUUCUUUGGUUUUUUGUUUUCUCCAGGACUCCAAGUUAAGAUUCUGUAUGCAAGCAGGUCUGCCAUUACCCUGAUCCUGUAACAAGAUAAACAAAAUCUAUUGACCUAUUGGAAGAUGGAAAAGAUCAUUUGGUUAAAGCUUUCAUUUCAAAACCACAUUAUUUUGAAUCUUUAUUAUAGUUUGGUUCACUAUUUACCUUAGUGAGAGUGCAUCGGUCAGUAUUCUAUCAGGAAUUAGAUAAUAAAAAGCUUUAUUGAUUAGCUAUUUCUUAUUCCACUUUAUGCUAUAUUGCUAUAUUUGUGCCCAAAUUUUUAGGGUCGCAAGUUUGAAUGAAUUCUAUAGUUACUAUACUAGAGAAGAAUAGAGCUUGAAGAAUGGUUUGGGUUGCUUUACUUGGGACUUUUAGACAUUUUUGUCAUGCCAAAGAUGUGACACAUUUUUCAAGGUUAAAUUUGUAAAAUUACCUUCUUUAUUUUCACUUAUAUUGUGGUUAUAAAAAAUGAGACUAUCAAAAGAAAAACUUUCAACUUCAAUUAAAAAUAUGAAUGAUAGGAAAAAAAAAGAAUUACGAAAGUUUUGAUAAGCUUUUGGUUUUAAAUGUUUUAUAGUUUGUCCAAAAAAAAGUUUUAUAGUUUUAUUUGAAAUGUUUCAUCUGUAUCUAUAAAACAAAUUAAUUUUUUUUGAGAUCUUGUUUUUAAAUUUUAUUUUCAUAAGAGGGUAGAGAUACAUUUUUAAUUCUAUUUUUAAUUGAACUUCUAUUUUUAUUAACAUAUUAAUUGAUCAAAAUAUCUAGUAAACAAAAUUAUUUAAAUGGGUAUUUUCGUCAAGCUACUCUUGAAUAUAGGUCCUAUGUUUUGCACAUGUUAGUUUUUAACGGAAGUUAGUGAUAGGUACCAUUUGAAAUGAAAUUGAAAAGUUCAGGUACUGGUUGUGAUCAAAUUUGAAGUUCAGGUACUAUCGAUAGAAUAGAGGAUAAGUUCAGGUACCAUUUGUGAUAAUAAUCUUUCAAAAAAAAAUGAAGAUCCUCUUACUCUUUGUAUUGUGUAUAAGAGUCUUUUGACAUAAGUUCAUUAUAAAUUUCAUUUUCUUCUCUUUUUAAAUCUGUUUGUUUUUUUCUUUUCCACGUUUACCAUUGCAGCAGACUUGAACAGAACUAUGUUUGUUAUAUUGUUGCCGGCCUAGCGUGAGUGUUUUGGAAUAAAAAAAAGGCAAAAUAGCCAAAUUACCCCUUAACUUUUCUCAUGACUGCCGAUUUACCCCCUGACAUUUCAAUUUUGAUUAUUUACACCCUCACUUUUCUAAAUGUUGCCAAUUUACACCCUACAGUCAAAUUUUAGACUUUCCAUCCAAUUUCUCCGUUAACUUAGUUAGCACGUGAGGGGUCUUUUCGUCUAUGCAAUUGUCACAAAAAAAAAAAAAAAAGUGUUGGUUUGUUUAUUUUUUUUUUAUGAUAGUUGAAAAGAUGAAAAAGCCACUCACGUGCUAACCAAGUUAACGGAAAAUUAGAUGGAAAGUCCAAAAAAUAACGAUAGGGUGUAAAUUGGCGUGAAGACUGAAGAUGAUCUUGCAUCGAGAGGUAGGGUGUAAAUAACGAUAGCACUGCCGUACUGCUCAGUGCUAUCGUGUCUUUGUUUCUUCACUGCAUAGAGAGAGAGAGAGAGAGAGAGAGAGAGAGAGAGAGAGAGGUGAUUUCAUUAGCAUCUACAACACUGAUUCCACCUUCCCUGCUACGUUGUUCCUUUUGUCUUCCAUGUUCUCAGCUGUGUUCCUCUGAUUAGCCACUGGCUGAGAAUUGCACAACCGUUGUUUUACCCACAUCUGAGGACUCUUGGCAACAUCAGCUCCUCCGGUGCAACCGAUUUGCGGGAAAUUCCUUUUUAACUGCGGAAUGUGAUUUUCUGUAAACCUUUUUAUGCUUUCUGUAAACCUUCACUGCUUCAAUGCAACUAAAGUUCAGGUUAAUAUGCUAUUAAUUAGAUUUCUUCAUAAUACAAAUUCUGGUAUUCUAAUCAAUAUAGGAUAGAUGCAAUAAUAGAAUUGGUUGCGCAACCAUACUGCUAAUUUUGGUUACCUGAAUGUUGAGCAAAUUAAAAGACACUGAUCUUUUUUGUCGUGAAGUUAUAGGAAAAUGGGUGACACUUCUUAUUCCAAUGGCAAUGGAAAUGGGAAUGGAGUGAAGAGAAAAGGUCAUCGUGAAGAGCUUCUGGUAUGAGCAAGGAAUUGAAGAAAACUUAAGCUGGAGCUUUGCUCUUAAUAAGUAAAGUUACAUUUUCAGUAGAAUCAGUUACAUUAGUUCAGUAGUCUUGGCUUCACUUUUUUCCCUUUUUUUUUUCAUCUUUUUUUGGCGUUCCUAUUUCAUUGUACACUUGAGAAUUCAAAUGUGUGUGUGUGUGUGUUCUAGCUGACUUAUAGCACUAUUUUAAGAUCUAAGAGUGAAAGUUCCUUAGUUCACAAAAUUCUUCAAAAGUGAGACAUUAUUUUUUACAACAAAUAUUGGUCAUGAAAAGUUAAUGUUGGAUUAGAGGUGCUGCAGCAAGCAAAUAAA